CAAAGAUGGAAUCUAUUACCCACAGAGCCGCAGCCCCCACAGAGCGAGCCUCACCUGUCUUAGGGAUUUAUUUCAACUCUCCUAUUAAUAGCCGGCAACGCCAAGAACUGUGAUCACUGCCCUGGACGGCAAGAACCUUCUGAGCAGAAUGAGAGAAACCCAUUGGGAGACAAAGUGGAGUUCAAGUCCACCUCAAAUGAGAAAAUCGGAUCGUUUCCAUUUUAUCUGAACGCAACCUGCAUCCCAAAAUGGGUGAGGACCACUUUUCUUGUAAAAACAACUCAGAAGGCAACUCACCGUACCUAAUGGAAGUGUCAUUACAAAUCCAUCUUCCUUUUUAAUGCUAACUUGUUGUGUAGGAAGGAUUUAGAAUACAUAUUAGAACGACAUUCCUAACUAUGAAUGUGUAAAAUAUGGAAGAAAUAACCAGGAGAAAUUGUAGAAUCCCAAUUCCUUCAGAAUAUUAAAUAAUCUUA